UGUUUCUAACCUACGAAAGCUUCAGUUCGGCACAGGAAGUGACAAUAUUUCUGUUGUAAUGUCGGUACCAGUUGGUCUCUGAUUUUCUGCAGCCGUUCAGGAUUUUGCUCUGGACGCCUGUUAAAGGGAUAGUCUUCCCUGCUAAUCUCAAGUGAAUCUCCAGUGACGUCACUGACCUUCAGUCACUUGGUGACACACCAUAAUUCCUCCUCAGGGUGUGUCACAGCCCUGCACAGCUAAAUAUUGAGGAGUUUUCUGACCAGAUGAAGAUGAUCUCCUCCUCUUCCUCUCUCAGGAUGAAGAUGAUGUCCAGCAUCCUGCUGCUCCUCAUCCUCAGCUCAUGUCUCUGUGCAGCAACAUUUGUAGUGAAUGUGACACAGAGCAGCUAUCAGGCAGAGGGAAAGCAGAACAUCACUCUGGAGUGGACCUUCACCACCAAGACUCAGGGAACCUGGAAGAAUCUGUUCAUUAUCUGCAGCUUGGUGAGACCUGAUGAAGAACUAGUUCUCUAUCGGGUCCAUAAUGGAGUUGAGAUUCCAGAGUCUCAGGAUGAUCAGUUUUCAGGACGAGUCCAGAGCAACAAAGACGUCCUCAGAGAGAAGGACGAAUCAGACUCCAUGGAUGAAACUAAAAGUAUCUGAUUAAUCUGAUCCAGAGACCCACCUGAGUCCCUGUCAAAAUUAUAAUAAAAAAUAAGCUGAAAUUUAGUAAAUAUUUUUGUUAACUGAAAUAAAUAAAAACUAAUUAAUGAGUUUUUAAACUAUAACUAAAUGAAACUAUAUUGGACAUUUACACAUCCUCAUAUUAUAGAUCUAAUGUCCUUUGGUUCUGUGUUUAUUAAUUUUAGUGUUUUUUUAUAUAAACAUCAGCAGAUUAUAUCAGCUGUUGGUCAAUGAUCCUCCUGAUUUCACUUCUGCUGGUCUGGAAAAUAGUUUAGAUAAAACUCCUGAUUCUGUUGGUUGUUCAGCGAUAAUUGAACACAUUUAUUGAAAAUUGUGUCUUUUGUUGAGUGUUUUUUACCCAAUCGAUGUUGAAAAAACAUAAAAAUGUUUAAAACAAUCACAAAAAUGAACCACAGAAUGGGGAGAAAAAAACAAAGUGACUGUUAUAGCUGAAACUAAACACAUUAAAACUGACUGAAUUAGAUAAAAGUCAUAACAGAAUAAAAUUAAAGUACAAAUGGUUGUCAGCAUGUUGUUGGUGAACAAACGGGUCCAAACUUCAGCUUUUAAUUGUUUUUCUCAUAAAUUCUGUUAUUGUUUCUGUUUCAGGUCCAAACUUUGCUAAAAUAACAAUUCCUCCCAGAAACGUCAUGAGUUCGACGCCACAGGAGGAAACCAGCAGGAACAGAGAGUCUGCAGGUCGUCGGUCGAGGCUGUUUCUUAUUUUCCCCUUUAUUCUCUUCAUCAUUUCUCUGAGUUUGCUUUUCAUCUUCAGCUUGAAAAAUUGCUCCAAAAACUCAAAAUUUGAAGAGAACCUGCAGAGAGCCUCUGCCUUGCAGUUUGGAUGCCUUGCUCAAGAGCAGACCUGUGUUGAUGUGGAGCAGAACUCAGUGAUUCCUGAUGAACUGCGGCAUCAUGAAAACUGUGGAGGUUGAGUCGAUCAAUCUGAGAUUAUUGAUGAAUCCAGGUUCUUCAUAAAGCAGCUCACAGACUCUGCAGGAAUCCCACAAACUUUCUGAUAAACAUGAGAAAAUGUUGUGGAUUUUUCUCCAGGAAGAGGAAACAGCUGAAGAGAAGCUCUUGGUUUUUCUCUUGUUUUUUCUGUGUCUCCUGAAGUUGAGUCUGUCUACAGAUCAAUGAGACCAGUGGAAGGUUUUCAUCUCUCACUGAACGUCACAAAAGGUGAAGAAAUGAGAAGAGAUUAUAGAAAAUGCAGCUCAAAGCUGCAGCCUCUCCAGAUGAAUGGACAGUCUGUGCAGAGACACCAGUUACAAUCAAACUGGGAUCAAACUGGCCCAGUUUGGCCUGAACCAGUGAAGAGUUGCUGGUUUCUUCCUGAGCAUCAUGGAGACAUUUGAACGUUUUGCAUCGUUUGCUGCUGCUGGAUGUUAUGCUGCUCCAAUCACUGAGACUUAAAAUAUUACGUUAAGAUGUUUUCCGUGGAAUGAAGGGAACUGAAUUUCGGUUCAAACUGUUUCUUAACCAUAUCAGCUCUGACCUGCUCUGAAGGCUGUGAUGCAUUCAGGGACUGUUUGUUCAUCUCAGUGUUUCCAGAGAGUGACUGACGACUCACCAGUGAUUCUCUGAGGCUUCCUGUCCUGUGAGACGGUGACUUCAGUGUAGGACACAGAACGCUUCACUCCACCUGCACAAAACAACCAAUCAUGGUGACGGCCGUUUUACUGCCAUAGUUUUAAUUUACAUGUUUUAUUUUGUAUUAUUUAUAUUUUUAAGACUCUUAUUUUGGAAGAUUAAGGUAGGAAGUGGAAUCAGUACGUUGGUAGGACACUAGAGAUGCUUGACAUGUAACGGCAUGCUUUGGCAAGUAAAUGAAGGAAGAUCAUUUAAGUUUAAGAAUUUAUUUUAAUUAUCUCAUUUCUGCCUCAAAAGGAAGGAUCAGCCAGCGAAGUGUUUUUAUAUGUUUUAUGUUAUUUUCUUUGUCAAUAUUGUAUUAUUGACACCCUCUCACUAAGUUACGUGUGUUUUAGUACGACGGUGGUGUUGGUGUCAGGGAAACUGACGCUGUGACAAGAACAACUUUAAAGACUUUCAUUAAAAGCUGACUUCACACCAGCUGUGAAAUGAACUCUUAAUUGCCAAAAAUAAGAACGGGUGGAAGUGAUGAGCCGGACGAGGUCAAAGUUCAACAUUUAUCCUAUGAAGCUGUAAUGCUGUCAUCAGGUUAUUGUGAUAAAGUCACUGAACCAGGAUCUGUUGCAGUUUCAUGAUUUUAUUGCCUUGUCAGUAAAAAUUUGCCUCUUAAACUAAAUUGUUGUUUCUGUGUUGAAAAGUGUAGA